CCACAUCCGCAUCCUUUGCUGAGGAUACGGUUAACGGAGCGAAAGCGACGUUCAACCGCAAAACAAGCAGAGGGGGCUUAGUGGUGGGGUGACUGCGUACCUUUUGUAUAAUGGGUCAGCGACUUAUAUUCUGUAGCAAGGUUAACCGAAUAGGGGAGCCGGAGGGAAACCGAGUCUUAAUUGGGCGUUAAGUUGCAGGGUAUAGACCCGAAACCCGGUGAUCUAGCCAUGGGCAGGUUGAAGGUUGGGUAACACUAACUGGAGGACCGAACCGACUAAUGUUGAAAAAUUAGCGGAUGACCUGUGGCUGGGGGUGAAAGGCCAAUCAAACCGGGAGAUAGCUGGUUCUCCCCGAAAGCUAUUUAGGUAGCGCCUCGUGAAUUCAUCUCCGGGGGUAGAGCACUGUUUCGGCUAGGGGGCCAUCCCGGCUUACCAACCCGAUGCAAACUGCGAAUACCGGAGAAUGUUAUCACGGGAGACACACGGCGGGUGCUAACGUCCGUCGUGAAGAGGGAAACAACCCAGACCGCCAGCUAAGGUCCCAAAGUCAUGGUUAAGUGGGAAACGAUGUGGGAAGGCCCAGACAGCCAGGAUGUUGGCUUAGAAGCAGCCAUCAUUUAAAGAAAGCGUAAUAGCUCACUGGUCGAGUCGGCCUGCGCGGAAGAUGUAACGGGGCUAAACCAUGCACCGAAGCUGCGGCAGCGAACGUAUCACCCAAGACAACUUUACGGAGUUGACGAUUGACGGAGCGAAGCGACGUCAAAGCGUUCAUUAAAGUCGAGUUGGCUUAGGGAUACGUUCGUUGGGUAGGGGAGCGUUCUGUAAGCCUGUGAAGGUGUGUCGUGAGGCAUGCUGGAGGUAUCAGAAGUGCGAAUGCUGACA
rnacentral:rRNA from 1 species